rnacentral:ncRNA from 1 species
GUUUAAUUCGACUCAACACGGGAAAAUUCACCAGCCCGGACACUGUGAGCACUGACAAAUUGAAAGCUUUUUCUUGUUUUGGUGGAUGGUGGUGCAUGGCCGUUCUUAGUUGGUUGAGCGAAUUGAGAAGAAACACACUGGAAUUUAAUCAAUCAUCAUGACAUUGAGAUGAAUUUGCGACUAGGUUUCUUAUUUUAUAUUUUUUUUAAUUUUUUGAUUACAGCUUGAUUCCACACCGUAUUUUUGGUACAGGUAUGGAAUUUUCAGCAUGUGAUGUCGGUAGCCCAAGUUUUGCAGGCCGAC